rnacentral:rRNA from 1 species
GACGAACGCUGGCGGCGCGCCUAACACAUGCAAGUCGAACGGAGACACGAGGAGCUUGCUUUUUUUGACUUAGUGGCGAACGGGUGAGUAACGUGUGUGUAACCUGCCCUGGUGUGGGGGACAACAGUUGGAAACGACUGCUAAUACCGCAUAAGCCCCCGGAUCCUCAUGGAGCUGCGGGAAAAGGAUUUAUUCGCUUCAGGAUGGACUCUCGUCCAAUUGGCUAGGUGGUGUGGUAACGGCCCACCCAGGCGAGGUGUCGUCGCCGGGGUGAGAGGGGGCACGGUCAGAUUGGGAUUGAGACACGACCCAGACGCCUACGGGAAGCAGCAGUGGUGGAUAUAGCACAGUGGGCGAAACCCUGAUGCGCCGACGCCGCGAGGAGGAAGAAGGUUUUCGGAUUGUAAACUCCUGUCGUUGGAGACGAUAAUGACGGUACCUAACAAGAAAGCACCGCCUAACUACGU